CUUUUUUGCCGGUUCUUCCCGCUGAGGAAGUGUCGCUCAAGACGCUGGCCUAUGAAGGAAGACAAACAUAAAGAUGAAGUGCUUAAUUCAAGGUCACACAAUGUCGGGGAUGGACCUCCAGAUUUCCUUACUGGAAAACAAGCUCAGGGCUCCCACUGAUUGUACAUUAUGGUGAGACGUGGUCUUGUAACACAGUGGUUAAGAAUGUGACUUUGGAGCCAGCCUGCUAGGGGCUGAAUUCUGACUCAGCCAUUUACUAACUGUGUGACCUUAGGCUGGAGUGCAAUGGCAUGAUCUCGGCUCAUCACAACCUCUGCUUCCUGGGUUCAAGCGAUUCUCCUGCCUCAGCCUCCCGAGUACCUGGGACUACAGGCACUCGCCACCAUGCCCGGCUGAUUUUUGUAUUUUUAAUAGAGAUGGUUUCACUAUGUUGGCCAGGCUGGUCUCGAACUCCUGACCUUGUGAUCUGCCCACCUCAGCCUCGAAAAGUGCUGGGAUUACAGGCGUGAGCCACUGCGCCCAGCCUUGUAUUUUUUUUCAGUUUGGGUAGCUGUCCCUAAUUCAUUUGUUAAAGGAGAAGCAAGAGCAAGAACCUUUAAUCUGUUCUCCUCUUCCCUAAUUUGAAAGUAGCUUGUUAUUUUGAAUAUCACUUUCUCUGAAAUAGCACAUCUCCAUCUCAGAGAAUGGAUUUAAUGUUUGGAUACAGCCAAAAGUCAUUUCAUUACCAAACCAUGGGGUGAAUAUACCAUGUAAAGCAGUUUGGGAUCAGAACUCACAGUCUGAAUUGUAAGUGAUGAGACUGCUGUCUCUCUGCUACAGCUUCUUGGCUGGCUCUGAAGGCUCUUUGAAGGCAGAUCCUAACAAGGGGACUGCUUUGAAGGGCCAUUGUUCAUUUGGAAUGAUAAAGUCUAUGUUGUUCAAAAAACAAAUGCUUGUAGCAGGUAUUUUUUCACUCCAGACUGAGAAUAUUGGUGGGAUAUUGAUAAGGGGUACUGAAUGGUAAUAAACAUGUGCUCUAGCUCUGUGCUAGUCAGCUUAUUUCAGAACUCUAGUUUGAUUCAGUUUCUUGCCUCUGACUCAAAAUGGAGGGAGAGUGAUUUUUACAUAAGAGAACACACCCACAUAUCCUUUUGGCAGCAGCUACCUGCCAGAGAUGUUGAAGAAGAGUAGCCAACCUUUACACAGCAGAUAUUGUGUGCCAGUCAUAGUCCUAAGUAUAAUACCUUACAUGUAUAAACUUCUUAUAAGGUUGGUGCUCUGUACCGAAUUGAAUAGUAUCCCCCAAAAUUCAUGUUGUCCCAGAACCUAUGAAAGUGAUCUUACUUGAGGGAGGGGGGAGGGGGGAGGGAUAGCAUUAGGAGAUAUACCUAAUGCUAAAUGACGAGUUAAUGGGUGUAGCACACCAGCAUGGCACAUG
rnacentral:lncRNA from 1 species